CUGCUCUAAAGCUCCUGCUCUAAUACCGUCACAUCAACUAUCAGCAACCUUUCAUGUUGUAAUGGAUCUGUUUAAGCUAAUCCAUACUCUCCUUCACCCCUUCCCCUGCACAUUCUUAACAUCAAUAGGCGUCCAAAUCCAUACGCUGAAAAGUGUUUGUCUGAUGGAAAUCUGACAAAUAAUCCUGUGAAACGCCCACCCUCCACCAACGAGCUCGCUCGAGUCCCUAAAUCCAUGAUGAAGCGAAGCCGCUCCAGCCCACAAGGAGGUGUUAACCACAGAAAGGGAGGAAAACAUCAUUAAAUCAUCACAACUCGGGAUAAUAAGAAUCCUACAAAGCUGGACCUCAAAGACUUGCUGUGUAACAAUGGAUGAGCAGACAUCCAUCAUAGUUAAUGCUGGGACACCAAUCUACACAUUCAGUGUGAGUGCUGGUGUCCAUGUGAUGGACUCCAGCGCCCUGUGACCCUCACGAGGACGAGUGGAUAAGUGGACAAGUGGACAAGUGGAUAAGUGCAGGAAAUAAGAUUUGAGACACCAACACGCGUCCCGGCUCCAUGUGCUCCUUUGUUCUCUACAUGCACGCGCCUUUGUUCCCCUUAAUGUGCUUUGUUUGUCCGCGUAUCUGGAUGACAAUGAUUAGCCGUGAUGGAUGAUAGUGACCCAAUAAUUGUGACAAGGACACAACAUUAACAUUGAAGCGGGGACAAUGACAGUGCAGCUGUGUGGCCACUGCAUUAUUCAGACGGGACGAAGAGCGAAAAAAAAAAUAAAUAAAUAAAGGAGAGGAAGAGAAGGGGAGAAAACGGAGAGGAAGGAAGAAUGCGACGAGAUGGGAACGACACUGGAAGGAGGCAGAUGGAUGUAAAGAUGGAGCACAUGCAGCUAGCAGACACAGAAGGAGCAGUACUAGUACUGGUACAGUAGUACUACUGCACUACUGUGAGUUUACACCCCAAAGGACUUGUCAUUAUUCCUCGUUGACCUUCGUGAAGGACCAUGUGAGCAAAGAGGUGCUUGUAGCGUUUAAAUGAUGUCAUUAUCUAUUUAUACGUUCACUCUAAUACUGUAUCAACUCCUCUUUAGCAGAAGACGCAUGCGUCCGAUAGUAAAGCAGUCUCAGACUGGCUGCCAUAAUGUGACAGCUCCAUAGUGAUGCAUGAAUGGAGGUCCUCUCGGCCAAACGGCUGAUGUGACUUCACAGGCAGCAGCAGCACACGCUGAGCCCUGAGGACCGUGUCACUGAUCCUCCACUGGUAUCUGUGAGCUCCAUCUGUGGUGGAAAGAAGACGUGGGGCUGAUCUUUAGUUUAUGUAGAAUCCCCUUAAGUCAUAGCAGAUGACGUUUAUUUGGCAUCUGAGACAGAAUUCUUAAUAUUAUAUCCUAAAUUCAGUAAUUGAUCUGGAGGAAUGUGGCAUUUUCGUGUUUCUGGCAUCUUGGAUAAGUCACUGUUGUUAGAAGGUUUUUGGGCUGAGAGGUCGGAGGUUUGAUAUCCAGCUUCCUGUUGUGGUCCGAUCAUGAUCUAUUUUAAGUUUGGCUCUGUGUUUAAAUUUGUUCCGUCUUGCCUUUGGUGUCAGCACGCUGAUAAAAUAUGCAUGCUUUGGACUUUU